UUUAACAGGUUAACUAAAAGUAUUUAAGUUUAAUCGAGAAGGGUAUUCUCCCGGUAUGGUCAUGCCUGAUUUUUUUCUUUUAGAAACUUUGUGAAUUCGUUCGGUCAAGCCCUUGCAUCUCGGUUAAUCCAUCUAGCGAGAGGGAGGCGCCUGAAGGCGACGACGCCGGCGCCAGCGCAAGUACCUUGGCGACGACGCCGGCGCGAGGUCGUGUCGGCGAAAUCCCGGCUGGGCUUGGUCGUACUUCGUAGUGGUCGCUCCCUGACGCCCCCGUGGACGCCAGGGCGAGGUCCUGGGAGAUGCCGGCGCCGCGCAUGGACCUGGGCGACGACACCGGCGCGAGGUCCUGGAGGCAAACCCCUGGCUGGGUUUGGUCGUAGUGGUUGACCAAUGGAGCAAGUGAUUGUGGAUGUCCACGAUGGAAGUUGCGGUUCAGGGACUUGUUUCAACGGCGGCAUUUUGAGGUCAUGUACAUAUGAAGAUAGGAAAUACUGUUGGUGAGGUGGAGCUGAUCUGAAUUGGAUGUGUUUGGGAUCAUACCAGGUUGCCCUGCUGCUAUCUCUGCACAGACGGACGAGCAAGACCGCAAUUUCUUGUUCUUGCAGCACAUGCAUUCUUGUUGGAUCAUUUCUUCUGACUAUAGUGAAUGCCUAAUCUUAUGGUUAUAUGAGCGGCAUUGUUUUGAUGAACUAGGCCAUGUGGUGUUCCACCCCUGUAGCUUGAUUGCAUUCUUCAAACGUGGCAAAGUAAUGAGUUGCAUUUUUAUU